UGCUCCGCCUCCCGGAGCAUAUACGCCUUCCCGUCGCCGCCCCAAUGCCCUGCUGCUCUGUCCUGACAAUGUUGCACCGCUGCGAGCCCCAGUGCGAUGCUCGACUUCCCUCUGCAGCCUCCGCCUCCUCUUCCCAAUCUGGGCAUAUGCACCGACCAGCCGUGGAUCUCGGGGAGGGGCAGUGGUGCCGGUUCCGGCGCGGGUGAGGUUGAGGUGGCCAGGUGGGGACAGCGGCGAAGGAGCACAGGUAAAGUGCGGCCAACGGUGGUGCGCAGCGCAGGGAGGUCGACGGUGCUCUGGUCCGGCGUGGGCGAGCUCGAGGCUUGUACGACGCCCGGCGGAGCGCGGGUCGGGUGCGACUUGCGCGAGCAAUCUUCGAUAGGGAUGAGGUGGGGUCAUCCUUCGAUAUUGGAGGUACAGUUUCACUACAAUAUUGAUGAUAAGUGCAACAUAUUGUGCAAAGGAAUGAAGACGGUUUAUUUCUGCAUUUGUGGUGCUGUUUCCUUGCCGGGGCCGGUCGAUAUUUGACAGGCUUGUUUUGGCUGCGGGGUGUCCUCCCAGAUUUUUCUUUCUCCCCAUGGAUUACAUGGUAGGGGCUGUAGUGGUGGAUGCUUCCUGUCUAUCAUCAUGUGUUGAUGUUGGUGCGGUCCAUUGGGGGUUUGGAUUAAGUGCUUUGUGGCUGCCUGGAUGUGGUGUGAUGUCGAUGGGUUUGUUUUUUUAGAAGAAAAGGGCUCUCGCCCUGGCUUCAUUUGAUUGAAUAAAACUAAGCCAAAUUUUUGUCGAUGGGUUUGUGUCUCAGUGUGGUGUUCAUCACUUUCGUGGGUGUUUCGUUUUAUAGGAUGUACCAUCGUUUGAUUUUUGUUGUAGGUUUUGUUGAGGUGUUUACUAAUCUGGUACAUUGUUGUCCGAUGGUUGCUUAAGUAUAGGAUCUGUACCUAUAAUCUCCACAACCGGUCGAACAGCUUCUUUUCUAAUUAGGAAGCCUUUCAAAUAUCCACGAACCUCUUACUUGUUUAAGCUCUCUUUGACAUGGAUCAAUCAAUAAAUACAUGUAUGUCUAGCAUCUUUGCGGGACCAAAUCAACUUCUUAUUAUUUAGGCACACUAUUGUAAAUUCCAUUUACUGUUGUAGAUCUGAUAGAAUCGUCCUAAAUUGGUAUUUUAAGUACAGAACAACAAAAGAAGUCGUUCUAAAUUUCCAAGAAACUGUUGUCAGUUUGUCUUCUGAAUACAAAAGGGCAUAGGGGAAGGCAAAAUUAACGAUUGCUGAUCACAUAUGCUGUACACUGGCACAAUAAAGGGAUUUGCGUUGAUUUUUAUCUAUUCUCGGUUCUUAAUUUGUCUAAAAGAUGUGCUAAGAAAUGGAGAUGUAGGCACAUGAGAAGAAGGGACAUGGAGCCUUAGCUAAUGUAAUUAUUUAUUGUAGGGAUGCUUCCGUUACUUAUAACACAAUUAUAUAUCCCGUGAUUCUCAUCUUAUAAGAUUUUUAAUUGCUUCAUGUUCCAUUGAUUUGGCUAGCAACCUCUAUAUGUCAUCUCUGAUGCAACGAGUGGGCUCGGUGGAUUUGGAUACUGAGUUCUAAUUUGAUGACUUAUUUGACAAUUUCAGUUUACUAUUGCUCCCAUGCUCUAUGAUAUUAUUUGACUUACAAAUUUAAUUGGGCAAUACUCACAUGUAAAAUUAGGAUAUUCCUUCAACUGAUCCCAUUUUUACUCUGAAACUGAACAUCAUUUUCCUUAUAUUUUGGCCGGCGUACGCCAGAUGAUGGUAAUUUAGUAUUUAUCUGAUGUAUCCCUUGCUGGAAGAAUUAGCAUCUAUUAUUUUAUUUCAGCGAUGUAAGAGCACAUCCAAAUUUACUAUAUAUUCCGGAGAAGUUAGUAACUGGUUUGCCUGCAGAGUCCGUCAGGAGGACACGAUUGUAAAUGUAGGUCUUAUGGCUAAGAUAUAUGGAUUCAGAAUUUACUUGCAGAUUUGAAGUUGUGAUGCAUUAAGGAAGGAUCCUUAUUUUUCAUUUGUCAGCAUUCCUGUGUUACUUCCAUAUUUUUGUUCUUGAUUUUCUCAUUUAGAUAAUUCACUCAGGUCUCAUGAGUUUUGGAAAUUAGCAUCUUUCCAUAGCUUAGUACAGAAGCAUUUUUAUGGCUGAAUAAAUCUUGGUACUUUUAGGUAUGCCGGGCGGUUUGAGGCGUCCUCUUUGAGGCCAAUGCCGGUGGGGCAUUCGUGUUUAGGUGUGCGGCUGUCUGAUUUGGUCUUUCGCUUCGCUAUUGCCACUGUCUUUGUGUCACCUAGGCAGAGUUCGUCCUAUGGUCCCGCUGAUUUUUCUAAGCUAGAUGGAGAGCGGUGCGGCUGGUCAUGUUUGGCACUGUCAGAAGCGCGCUGGUAUACUUGAUUGUGACCGUACGGCCUUUUAUGUUUCAUCCCUUUUGUAUUCCCGUCGAUAAAAAAGGUGGAGCCACACCUUAAAUUGGCAUGGUGAUGUUGGAUGGCAGUUGGCCAAUCAGUUAGGUUGUCAUGGUGAUGUUGGAUGGCAGUUGGCCAAUCAGUUAGGUUGAUUAUUCGAGAAAUCAAUGUGUGUAUCUGACAAAGUGAUAAUCACACUAAACUAAAAAUCUUAGAAGUUGAGUUUAAAAGAAAGUUCAGAAGCACUGAAGGCUCAUGCUUCUACGGUCAUAUUUAAAGCUCCAGUUCUGAGUGGUGUUUCUAAAAGAGAUUAUCAACAUCUGCAUAUGUACCAUGUGUUCUAAUAUAGCAUUCAUGUCUCAUUCUUUGUUUGUCAUAUUAUUUUUCUCUCUGCAUAUUGUGGAGCUCUGGUUCAGAUUACUGAUAUUUUCAUAUAAAUUUUAUAACUUACCAAACAAGGUCCUAAUAAAGUAGAGCCACAAGUUUCAGAAAUAAGAUGUUUAUAACUACGCAGACAAAGUUCUGAACUCCUGGUAAAGAAGGUCCAAAAGUUUCAGAAAUUAGGUAGGGAAAAUCAAAGGUAAACUACGCAGGCAAAUGACUUUGCAUAUCAAAGAACAACUAUUAAUAUGAGUAGCUUAUACUUGCACAAUGGUAUGAAUGUCACAAUUAGACUUUCCUUCUGCUAUUACCCUGUGUGUUGCUUCAGUAAAUUAAGUUUAUAUGCUUAGCUUGGUCUAUAUAAUUCGGGGUUACUAUUUUUAGCCCCCACACUUCUGCUGCUCAUUCCUUUAUGGCCGUGCAAAAAACUUCUCCAGUUCAGUUGUUUUAGCUUUCUUUAAUCUUCAUCAAUAAUUAAGUCAUGUCAGCUUUAUGAAUAGUAAUUUUUUGUUUCUAAUAGGAAUUGUUUGAUUUUUUCUGCACAUACUCUUCUCUGUCCAUAUCCAUUUGAUGCUAGAGAAGGAUUACUAUGCAACUUUGAUAAAUUUUCCGCUUUACUAGAUCAACCAGACCUCUUUUUGUACAGCAGGCUCAGAUUUACAUUUUUUGCCAAUUAUUUGCAAGUGACAAGUGAGCAUAUCCUGAAGUAUGAUCUGUCCCUAGUUCUUAUUUUCAGAAACAGGAAAGCAGUUUCUUGACAGAAAAUCUAUGGUCCUUGACAGCUACAAUUGUGCCCUCUGUGCAGACAGUACUGAAGAAACCAACCUACACUUAUUCUGGGACUAUCCAUUUGCCUUGCUUUGUUGGGAUAGGAUCAUCCCAAAUAGAGAUAGAGGCAUAUCAGUUUUUGACAAUAUCCUGGGGUAUCUGGUUGGUCAGAAAUGAUAAAAUUUUCAGACAUGCUGCCUCCCAUGUCCAGGCUUGGAGCUUCUAUCUUCAGGAAGGGCUCAAAGCAGUAGAAAUCAGAACAAAACAAGCCAAAUCACAAAGGAUCAGGAUUUGGAUUGAACAGUAUUGUUAAUUUUUCAUGUUUCAUAAAACUGGUAUUGGUUGAAGUUUUGGCUUGUGUUGGAUGUAAUUUAUGUAAAUAUUUAAUAUUAAUGAAAAUACCGUAGAACAAUUGUUCUACGGUCAGUACAACAACAA